rnacentral:tRNA from 1 species
AAUUUUAUAGUUUAAAAAAAAUAAUGAUUUUGUAAAUCAUAGAUAUUUGUAUAAAAAUU